GUCCUGCCCAUCCAUGGAGAGAGCUGGAGAGAAGAAACCCAGACGACAUUAUCUGAGCCCCUGGAUACAUCCAAGCCUCAAGUCCUCAGAUGGUGCCUCCCCAACUCUCUGCCAGACCACAGGCAGGAACGUCCAGGAAGUGCCUGCUUCUCUAGACCCCUGUCCCUGCCUCAGAUCUAUAGCCCACUAGGCAGGAUGGUGCUCCAGAUGAAUCCACUUGAACUACGGAGAAAAGAACAAAACCUGAGCAGAGAGUGAAUCCCUUAAAGAAUAAGACAUGGGUUAGCUCAGCUGGAGGCUGUGACAUUACCUAAACUCUGGCCCUGCAUCCUACCCAAGGAAACGCCCCAGCCUUUCCUGCGUUCAUGUCUGCUGUCACAACUGCACUGUUAGCCAGAGAGCAAAGCACUCCCUAAUUUGAGGAGAUGGAAGAGUUGAAACACAAUAGACACAACAACUUAUUAUCUGACAUGGGAGCCCUGUGGACAUGGGCACAGAGGACAUUUUUCAUUUUGUGAACCACUGAGCCCCAUUUCCCUUUCUGGGCAGCACCCCACUCUCAAUCCAAAGGGUCUGAGUGGGCCCCACCCCACGUGGGGUGAAGCAAAUGGCCCAAGCCUGCAUCCCUUCACACCUUACCGUCUCCGGCCCCAGUGAUUGGCUUACAGCAGGGCACGGGACACAAGAACCCCAAUCAGGAUGAAUCCUGGGAUUUCUGCAGACAAAAUAGGGACAGGAAGCGUUCAUAUUUCCCCAUGGUACAUGAUCCUGAAAUUUCUGGUGGCUCUCUUGAGGGAAAAGAGGAGACCUAAGAGAUGCAGAGAGCAAAACUGGAUCCCAAGAAGCCUGCCGGUGCCAGAGGUCCUCCUGGAUGUCCCAGUUACAGAACCUCAUAAAUCCCCCUGCACACACACACACACACACUUUUUUUGGCACUGUGAAUCCAAUGUUCUAUCCUUUGUGAUAAACGGCACUAGUGGAAUCGCACAUGCACACUUGUGCUCAGUGUUCCACUCCGUACCUGGAGGGCAGCACGGGGUCAUGGCUGAAACCCAGGCCUGGAAGGCAGGGGGCCUAGGUCUUCUCUGGCUUGGUCUCCUUGGGCAUCGAUUUCCAUGCCCAAAAGGGGGGUUGGACAAACAAGCUCUGACACUCUCUGAAUCUGUAAACCUGAAACUCCUGGUGCUCUUGCAACCAUUGGAAGCUGAGAGUGUUGGCUACUGACUCUUGGAAGCCUUCCGUUCAUUGUGUUGAAAGAGGGCUUAAGUGGCCCCCAACGGAGGGGACCUGAAGAACAUUAAACAAUCAGGUUCCUGUGUCUCCACCAGAAUUGGCUCCAGAAGAGGGUCAGGCUUUGCAAAAACACAGAACAUUCUUCCCUCUGGGCUCCUUGGGAAAAGUUCUCAGCACGAUGGAGGGUGUCUCUCGCUAUUCAUGGCCUGCCAGUGGGAACAGCCAAGAAGGAGAAGAGGUCACAUGGCCAGGCUGCUGCUGGCACAGUGUGUCCUAUGCAGCCGAUGGCUGGGCGAGAAAGAGGGUUGCCCGAUCCCCUACUAAGGCGUCCUGUGAAAGGUGGGCCCAGGAGUUGCCAAAAGACCCUCUGCACCAGUCUCUACAAAGGCUGCCAGCAAGCAGGACUCAUGUUCAGCAGUCGCUGCUUGUCUCUUCUGUAGGAAGCACUUUCAUAUGCACUUUUUUUAAAACCUCACAACAACUCUCUUGCCCCCGAAUAACACCUCCACUUUAAAGUUAUAGAAACUGAGGCUCAAAGAGGUGAUGUUCAAGUAACUGGCCCAGGGAUCUAGAGCAGGAGGCACAGUUAAUUUCAUCAACCGAGGGCAAGCUAAGAACCUGCAGGACUUCUGCCUCGGCUUCACCCGCCCCUCCACCGUGCUGCAAUCAAGACCCACAAACAGGCAGGUCAGAAGCAUGUGUUCCAGUCACUGCCCUUCUCCCAGCUGCUUUUGUUAACAUUCUAGGACACAGUGUUCUGGCCAUUUCUGUG